CCUUUGUGACCAUAAAUACAAAAAUGAGUAGACAGGACAAAACAAUAGUGACCUGCUGGUUCUGUGAAACAGUAAAAAUGAGUGAAUGUUGCCCUGAAACAGAGCAGCCUCCUCAUCCGUUUUCAUGCACUGUAACUUUUAAAGUCAGCUUCUAAAACAUUGUUAGUUUGCUCAUAAGAACUUUUACUGUUUUCCCUUGGACCACAAUGAUGGACAGGUCAGAGUCCCCCAGCUGUGUGUCUGUAGUGAGCAACUGGUCAGAGGAUCGACCUAUUGACUUUAAAGGACCUGAUAUCCAGGAUAUUAAAAGGUCAGAGUCCCCCAGCUGUAUGUCUGCAGUGAGCAACUGGUCAGAGGAUCGACCUAUUGACUUUAAAGGAACUGAUAUCCAGGAUAUUAAAAGGUAAACAAUCUGCUGUGUGAA
ensembl:lncRNA